AGCUUUGGCAGUGGCAGUAUCAUAGCCAGUGGGGUUUAUCUGAGGUGCAAUUAUUACUAAUUGAAAACUUUUUCCAAUACACCGCAGUGACGACUUGAAAUAUAGUCAAAAUUGGCAAUUUUUGACAGUCUCUAUGGAUA